rnacentral:lncRNA from 1 species
UGCUUUAAAGAUGUGUUUAUAUGACAAAUGUCUUUAGCUGGGUGGUGGAGAAUAACUCCAAAGACCAUGUUUAAUGUUGAGCACCAAGCACGCUACAGGUGUUUCUUAAAUAUAAAAUGACAAAUGCUAAAUACCCAUCUCUCUAACGGUUUCACCUUGCAUCUUUAGACGCUCAAAAGUCUACUACAUUUUAGAUAAGAGCAGUUUCAGGAAGGCCAUACUCAGCCUUUCUGUAUAUUUUUAAAUAGUUCUCUACAAAACCUUUUCAAAAAUAUGUUUUUUUCUCUAAACCUAAAUCUGGUAGAGUGGAUUUGUACACGUUUCCAUUGUUUGAAGUUUGAGUGUCAUUAUUCUUAUUAAUGCAACAGACUGGCUGCAUCAAACCCCAUCACAGGUGAUAGGUAUAUGUUAGCUUUCUAUGGGAAAAAGCAAAUAGCCUUUACCACGAAUUAAAGGCACAGCUAUUUUUAUGCCAUUUGUUACCAACUUAAUGAUAACAUGUAACACGGGAU